UUAACUCAAAUUUGUAUGGAGUUGGAACGUUUACCUACGUUUGCCGCUAGGGGCGCUGUUCCAACUGCAUACAAAUUUAAGUUA
rnacentral:pre_miRNA from 1 species